AAGAGGGGAGAGAGAGUGUGGAGGGGAUGAUGUGGGGCUGCAAUGGGUCCCUGGAGAGCCUUGGAGGGGGGUCAGAGGUCAGAGGUCACGUGCCAUGGGGUCAGUGUGGGGUCUUAGGGUCAGUAUGGGGUCGGUAUGGGGUCAUUGUGGGGUGAUGGGGUUGGAGAGAGGUGAUGGAGUGAGAAGAGGGGAAAGAGAAUAUGGAAGGGAUGAUGUGGGGCUGCAAUGGGUCCCUGGAGGGCCUUGGAGGGGGGUCAGAGGUCAGAGGUCACGUGCCAUGGGGUCAGUAUGGGGUCUUAGGGUCAGUAUGGGGUCGGUAUGGGGUCAUUGUGGGGUGAUGGGGUUGGAGAGAGGUGAUGGAGUGAGAAGAGGGGAAAGAGAAUAUGGAAGGGAUGAUGUGGGGCUGCAAUGGGUCCCUGGAGGGCCUUGGAGGGGGGUCAGAGGUCAGAGGUCACGUGCCAUGGGGUCAGUAUGGGGUCAGUAUGGGGUCUUAGGGUCAGUAUGGGGUCGGUAUGGGGUCAUUAUGGGGUGCUGGGGUCAGUGUGGGGUGGUUAUGGGGCAGUGCAGAACAUGGCCGUGGGCAAGCAGAACCUCGAGGUCAUGAUCAGCAACUCCAACCGCUCCCAGCAGGACUUCGGUACGGGGGGCGGGGGGUCAGAGGUCACAGGUCGGGGGUCAGGGGUCAGUAUAGGGGGUGGUGGGGUCAGUGUGGGGUGAUGGGGUUGGGGUGAGAAGAGGGGAAAGAGAGUGUGGAGGGGAUGAUGUGGGGCUGCAAUGGGUCCCUGGAGAGCCUUGGAGGGGGGUCAGAGGUCAGAGGUCACGUGCCAUGGGGACAGUGUGGGGUCAGUAUGGGGUCUUAGGGUCAGUAUGGGGUCGGUAUGGGGUCGGUAUGGGGUCAUUGUGGGGUGAUGGGGUUGGGGUGAGCUCAUGGACUGAGCAGAGUGGAGAGAGAGUGUGGAGGGGAUGAUGUGGGGCUGCAAUGGGUCCCUGGAGAGCCUCGGAGGGGGGUCAGAGGUCAGAGGUCACGUGCCAUGGGGUCAGUAUGGGGUCAGUAUGGGGUCUUAGGAUCGGUAUGGGGUCGGUAUGGGGUCAGUGUGGGGUGGUAUGGGGUCAGUAUGGGGUGAUGGGGUUGGAGUGAGCGGAGGGGAAACAGUGAGUGGAAGGGAUGAUGUGGGGCUGCAAUGGGUCCCUGGAGAGCCUUGGAGGGGGGUCAGAGGUCAG
ensembl:lncRNA